CCUCUCUCUCUUUCUAUGUCUYUCUUUCUAUAUCCCUCUCUACCUCUCUUCCCCCUCUACMUCUCUCUGCAUCUCCAGGCUGUCAGUGACUUCUGUACAGAUCCCAACACGUUUGUGCUCAACUCCACCCACUUCAACUCUGGGACCAGCUCAGACGUGUUGGAUUAUUACCUGACCUGCAGCAGACGUAUGAACAGCCCUUUCCAGCAGCUGCUGACCCAGUCACAGAGGGCCCUUUCCAGCAUCCACACACACCUAUCCAGCCUGGACCGGAAUGCUCUCCCACAGGUCCCCAAGGCAGAGAAGUCACUCAGGGAGGUUCAGCAGAUUCUCAAUGCCACAGAGGGCAACUUUCACCAGCUAGUGGCGCUACUCAACUGUCGAGGUCUCAACAAGGAUUAUAUUGACUCUUUGAAAGGCCUGUGCUAUGACGGGAUGGAGGGAUUGCUCUACCUCUCCCUCUACUCUUUCCUUUCGGCUCUGGCCUUCACUGCCAUCCUCUGUUCCCUGCCCGGCGCCUGGAGAAGCUUCCCCAGUGAUUCCGAGGAGUAUGAAGAUUCGGACAGCGAGAGCGAGGACCCCUUCACUUCCCAUCAGGCACGUAGACAGCCGGCCGCGGGGUCUCAGCGAGGGGCCUUGCCCCCCUUCUAUAAUUACCAGGGGGCCGGGUGGACUCCUCCCUUUUCUAGCGCGCCACCCCUCCCUUAAUGCCCUAAGAAGUGUACUUUCCUACCUUMUGCCUUAGCAUGUAGAACAURACUAAAUGCCAAGUCCAGUUGGUGUAUUCAGGACUCCAAACGUUUCCUCCAAUGGCAACCCUGGCUAUGAGAGCCUACCCCUGACUGACAGGCAGUCCCCACCCCCCUCU